rnacentral:lncRNA from 1 species
AAGGCAGAACAACAUGACUGAAGGCGAUGAGGAACAGCUGAUCACCUGUGGAAGUCAUUUGUCCUAAAUUGUCAUGGACAGACCAUGUGCCUUACAGCAAGAAAAUUCUGUGAAUAAACAGGAAGCCAGCCAGCCAGGGAAGAUGCUUUUGUGAUAUAUCCCAGCAUGCUGAUGACCCCAAGGAGGACCACUGGAUACCUAGCAAGGAGCUGGCUGCAGCAUACCAUGAAUCCUCACAGCAACUUAAUGAGAUACUGGCCUCAGAACUGGGAGUAGCUUCUUGUUUGGACCAAUCCUUUGCCUCCUUCCAGUGUGCUCAUUGAGAUAUUGGAAACCAUGUCUAGAUUCUCCCAUUGAGAAGCAUUUCUGUGAGCUCUGGAAGUCAGGUGAAAAGGAGAAGUCAUAAUCUAUGGCAGCAGCUAUGGGAAGGAAAAAGAAGAACUGAUUGAAGAGUGGCAACCAGAACCUCUUGUUCCUCCUGUCCCAAAAGACCAUCCUGCUCUCAACUACAACAUCGUUUCAGGAAAAACAUCAAGAAAAGGGCAGUAAGAAUGUUAUUUAAAAAUAUGGAGGUAAAUUUCAGAAGAAAAUGCCGAAAAUGUUUGCCUUUGGAAAACGAGAAU